ACGGGUGAGUAACGCGUGAGUAACCUGCCUUUAAGUGUGGGAUAACUAUCCGAAAGGGUAGCUAAUACCACAUAACGCCUUUUAUAACUAAGAUAAAAGGUAAAAGGGGGCCUUUGGCUCUCGCUUAAAGAGGGGCUCGCGUCCUAUCAGGUAGUUGGUGGGGUAAUGGCCUACCAAGCCUAUGACGGGUAGCUGGUCUUAUAGGAUGAUCAGCCACAGUGGGACUGAGACACUGCCCGCACCCCCUAC
rnacentral:rRNA from 1 species